UUCUACAAGAUCUUUCUUGAAGAUUGGUAAGAUCUAGUUGGUCGCAUCUGAUUUACUGCUGGCACCUCGCUAGGUUGCUGUUACAGUUGCCUUAGAAGUUAGAACAUCCUGCUGAUCAGCUAAAAAAAAGAACGAACAUCCUGCUGAUACAUUAGUGCCCACCUAGUGGAUUCCAUCAUGCUGCCACCUUAUACCAUGGUUACAUUAUUGUGAAGUUAGCAUGCCUACUGCAGACGAUCAUAUCAAGCGAGUAUUUUUCCUUCCUUCUUAUGAAAGAACUGUUUCUACCCAUCUGUUGUUGCAGAUUGUCAACUCUGUUGUCAUGAACCAUGUGGUUAUUGAAGAUGGCUGUCACAUCCAAGGUUCUGUUAUAUGUAAUAAUGUGCAACUUCAAGAGCGUGCCGUUCUGAAAGAUUGCCAGGUUGGAGCUGGUUAUACUGUGACUACUGGUAGUGAUCACAAAUCAGAAUCCCUGGCGAGAAAGUAGAGCACAUUUUGAUAGUUCUGCGGUGGACUCGAGCACAUGUGCGUAUCAGAUGCACCCCUAUGAGUAAAGAAAGGGGAUACAGUUCUGUUUUGAGAUCUUUCUUCUUACAGUUUCUCGUUUGAGAUAUGAUAGCAGAAUUUUGGUUCCGGCAACAUUCUGAAAAUUUUGCGUGCUCUGAAUGUGAACUGCAACUAGUGAGAUGGUUUCAUGGCGUGGCUCCUUUUUAUCUUGAGAUGGAUUCAUGGCACGUCUUGAAUCAAUGGCUUGCUUUGCUUAAUCAUUC